rnacentral:rRNA from 1 species
AUUGAACGCUGGCGGCAGGCCUAACACAUGCAAGUCGAGCGGAUGAGAGGAGCUUGCUCCUGGAUUCAGCGGCGGACGGGUGAGUAAUGCCUAGGAAUCUGCCUGGUAGUGGGGGGCAACGUUUCGAAAGGAACGCUAAUACCGCAUACGUCCUACGGGAGAAAGCGGGGGACCUUCGGGCCUUGCGCUACCAGAUGAGCCUAGGUCGGAUUAGCUAGUUGGUGAGGUAAUGGCUCACCAAGGCGACGAUCCGUAACUGGUCU